rnacentral:rRNA from 1 species
GACGAACCGUGCGAACGUUGUUCGGAUUCACUGGGCUUAAAGGGCGCGUAGGCGGGUGAUCAAGUCCGGGGUGAAAUCCUCCAGCUUAACUGGAGAAUAGCCUUGGAUACUGGUCGUCUUGAGGGAGGUAGGGGCAUGUGGAACUUCCGGUGGAGCGGUGAAAUGCGUAGAUAUCGGAAGGAACGCCGGUGGCGAAAGCGACGUGCUGGACCUCUUCUGACGCUGAGGCGCGAAAGCCAGGGGAGCAAACGGG